UCCCAAGGAAGGGCUUCAGAGCUCAUGGU
rnacentral:piRNA from 1 species